CUGAGCCAUCCCAUAGGUGUCCCUAAGAUACAACCCUCGAUAUGGUUCCUUGAGGACUGUCUUGGCCACCUUCCUGCUGGCUGCCUCCUCGGGCUGCAGCAGUUUCUGGCUUCGCAGGGCUCCCGCUUCCCCUCAGCCUGGUGACAGCACCGCCAGUCAUGACUCCUGCAGUCCCGGCUGAAGCCUUCUCCAGCUCCAUCUCAGCUCUCACGAGGAGGAGCUGGUGAGGGCUCGCCCAGGGCAAGAGCCAGAAUUCACUUACUCUCCAAAUCUUAAUACAUGGCUAUGAAAACUUGCUUCUAUUGGUCUAUAAUUUUCUAGUCACAAUCUCAAGAUCCAGAAAGCUCUGUAAAGCGAAAGCUGAGUAUAAUCCUUGCAUGGAGGGAUGCAUGUCUUUAAGGGUAAGGCCCCAGCUACAUACUGGUAAGAAAGUGGCCAAGUCUCCUAGUUCAAUUCCAGGCUGUUUAUAAUGUCCUUCUCUAAACAUGGUCAAACUCAAUGGGCUGGACUCUAGGAAUUAACUAUACCUCUAGGGUACUUCUCUAGCGGUCCAGUGGGCAAGACUCUGUGCUCCCAAUGCACAGGGCCCAGGUUCGAUUCCUGGUCAGGGAACUAGACCUCACGUGCCUCAACUAAAGACCCCACACGCCCCAGUGAAGAUCAAGGAGCCCUCGAGCCUCAAAUAAGACCUGGUCAGCCAAAUAGAUAAAUAAAUAUUUAAGAAAAAUAAUAAGUAUACUUCCAUUCAAUGGUGAACUAGUAAAUGUUUAACGCAUGGCUCUCAGGAAAAGAAAAAGUCCUGAUACGUAGCAUUUGCCAAGGUCCACAGCAACAGACUGACUUCAAGCUAGCAGCGGGCAGAGCUGGGCACACAGGUCCUCCUGCCCACUGUGGGUGGUCUCCUGAACCCAUCCCAUCAUGCCACAUCCUGCCUCUCUGAGACCACGUCUAGACGUCCUGGUGGGAGCUGUGGGCUGUUCCCAGACUUCUUAGCAGCACAUUUACCAGUUCAUAGCAGGCAACAGAAGGCAAUUAUUCUGGAGUUAGCACUUUGGCUCGCUUGCUUGAAGGAAUGAAUGAAUGAACCAAAAUGGCACCUCUGUGCUCAUUUCCCUGUUGUGUGAGACGUGAAAUGUAAACAGUGACAUCUGCUCAAGAGGAACUGGUGAAUCUGAUCACCCCUGGGACCUCAAGUGGAUUCUUUACCGCUGAGCCACCCAGGAUGCCCUCUGUUAUGUACAUCCAACAACAAUUUUAUAAAAGGAAUUGUUGGUAUGGUAUUCAGCUAAGCAUAGACUGGUCAGGUGCCUCGUCAUCUGGCAUCAUUACCCUUAAAGGAAAGUGGACGUGGCCUGUUCUUCACUCCAGCAAUCACAUGAAGGUGGGUUCUUUACCACUAGCACCACCUGGGAAGCCCAUUGGAGGAGUAGAAACCAACUUUAAGGCCUUGACUCGACUCCAGGGGCAGACUAGAUUGGACUAGAAGGAAUCCCAGUGGCCUCGCCAGUGAUCCACUUUGGGCUGAGCUGACUCACCUGAUUUAACACCUUGCAACCCUCUAUGUGCACCUAUGUGAAGCUAAGCCCACAGCCAAGGGUGCAGGAACCAUGGGGUCUUCUGGAUGCACCUUUAUGUCCUGGCUCUGCGCUCUGUGUGGUUUGGGGCCACAGAUACAUCCGUUUUCUCAUCCAUAAAAUGGAACUCACUUCACAGAACAAUGGUAAGGAUAAACUCAUGCAAAGACCUUGGCACAAACUAAGUGCUCACAUAGUGAAAGACAUUAAGGUACUGGAUCUGGCCCUUAAAAGGAUGACUCAGUGUAUUCAAAGCCUCAUUCCAUGGAUUACAGAGUCAAAGUCUUUCUCAAA